CGCAGGGUAGAGCAGUUGGCAGCUUGUCGGGCUCAUAACCCGAAGGUCGGAAGUUCGAGUCUUCCCCCUGCAA
rnacentral:tRNA from 1 species